AGACCGUCCUUUGCAGACAGGAAGCGUCUUGGCUUGGACAGGAAGCGUUCAGGCAAUUCCAGAUUUAACAAGACGAGGAAGUGAGGACAGCCAAGAUGGCCGCCUGGAUCAGCUAUUUCCUCCUAUAUUACAUCACCUCUCAGCUUUCACUGUGUAAAUUGUCUCCACCUGUUUUGUUCUUCAAUGCAGUUUUAAAUAAAGUUGUAUUCUGUAUAAAAACAUGUUUGUAGUUUGUUCUAACGGUUUCACAGUGUCCUCACAAACGUGUCUUAAUAAGCCUCUGUCCUGACAAACCAGUCUCAAUAAACCUGUGUCCUCAUGAA